UCUCCUCCGGAUGUUCACAAAAGAAGAUUUCUAGAUCUGCUCCGGCGACCUUAGUUCUUCACUCCCGUCAUUAAGCUUCCGAUUGAGCCAUCGGCCUUAACCACCACCUCGACUUGCUUCCUCCGGACUGGUCAGAAGGGGAUUAGAUCGGUUUUCGGAUUUUUUCUAAGCUAGGAAGGAAGGGUUCGAGCUGAAGCGGUUGGCUUGCUAGGAACGGGAGCCAUCUGCCACGUGUUGUGGUGUCGGAGCUCACCUUACUGGGAGAUCUAUAACGGGUUGGCGGAUCGGGGGAAAAGGAACGGAGGCUGGGAGUCAGAUGCUUCCCACCGUUGACUAGAUACCCCGGUUUGGUUGCAAAGUGGUGGAUCUCGCAUCUGCCGGUUCUAAUGGUGAGACUCUGCAUCAGCGGUGUCAAUAGGCUCAGAUCUUCUUUUCCGGCGCCAAUUGUAUUUUCCGAUUUCCUUUGCUUCUGGGCUUUUUUGUUUGUGACGGCUCGGCCCAAUUAAGUGGGUAUUAAUAAGAUGAGGUCCAUUAAAAAAAA
rnacentral:lncRNA from 1 species